UACAGAGGGUGCAAGCGUUGUUCGGAAUUACUGGGCGUAAAGCGUGCGUAGGUUGUACUGAGAGUCGCGGGUGAAAUCCCAGGGCUUAACCCUGGAACUGCCUGCGAGACCUCAAUACUAGAGUAUGAGAGAGGAUAGUGGAAUUCCUGGUGUAGCGGUGAAAUGCGUAGAGAUCAGGAGGAACACCUGAGGCGAAGGCGGCUAUCUGGCUCAUAACUGACACUGAGGCACGAAAGCGUGGGGAGCAAACAGG
rnacentral:rRNA from 1 species